rnacentral:rRNA from 1 species
UCACGCAUCGCGUCUCCCCCAWAUCCACCCCGAGUGGAGGGGAAGGAGGAUGGUCUCCCGUGACUCACCGGUCGCGGCUGGCCUAAAGUUGGAGCCCCUCSGCAUCGGGAUGCYGCGGCKAUAGGUGGUGAACAAGGCCUCGGCCAAGCAAGCAACCCGUCGCGCAUCGCCAUGCCAAUGUGAGCUCGAAGGACCCUUUGACGUUGCCAAACGGCAACCAAACCGUUGCGAC